UACGGAGGGUGCAAGCGUUAUCCGGAUUCACUGGGCGUAAAGCGCACGUAGGCGGCUUCUUAAGUCAGGGGUGAAAUCCUGGAGCUCAACUCCAGAACUGCCUCUGAUACUGAGGAGCUCGAGUCCGGGAGAGGUGAGUGGAACUCCGAGUGUAGAGGUGAAAUUCGUAGAUAUUCGGAAGAACACCAGUGGCGAAGGCGGCUCACUGGCCCGGUACUGACGCUGAGGUGCGAAAGCGUGGGGAGCAAACAGG
rnacentral:rRNA from 1 species